rnacentral:rRNA from 1 species
CAGACGAGGGGCAUCAGGAAGAAGCUUGCUUUCUUUGCUGGCGACCGGCGCACGGGUGAGUAACACGUAUCCAACCUGCCCUUUACUCGGGGAUAGCCUUUCGAAAGAAAGAUUAAUACCCGAUGGCAUAAUGAUUCCGCAUGGUUUCAUUAUUAAAGGAUUCCGGUAAAGGAUGGGGAUGCGUUCCAUUAGGUUGUUGGUGAGGUAACGGCUCACCAAGCCUUCGAUGGAUAGGGGUUCUGAGAGGAAGGUCCCCCACAUUGGAACUGAGACACGGUCCAAACUCCUACGGGAGGCAGCAGUGAGGAAUAUUGGUCAAUGGGCGCUAGCCUGAACCAGCCAAGUAGCGUGAAGGAUGAAGGCUCUAUGGGUCGUAAACUUCUUUUAUAUAAGAAUAAAGUGCAGUAUGUAUACUGUUUUGUAUGUAUUAUAUGAAUAAGGAUCGGCUAACUCCGUGCCAGCAGCCGCGGUAAUACGGAGGAUCCGAGCGUUAUCCGGAUUUAUUGGGUUUAAAGGGAGCGUAGGUGGACUGGUAAGUCAGUUGUGAAAGUUUGCGGCUCAACCGUAAAAUUGCAGUUGAUACUGUCAGUCUU